rnacentral:rRNA from 1 species
GACGAACCGUGCGAACGUUAAUCGGAUUCAUUGGGCUUAAAGGGCGCGUAGGCGGCGGCGUAAGUUCGUGGGGAAAUCCCAUCGGCUCAACCGUGGAAUUGCUUCGAAUACUGCGUCGCUCGAGGGAGAUAGGGGACCGCAGAACUGCCGGUGGAGCGGUGAAAUGUGUUGAUAUCGGCGGGAAUGCCAGUGCCGAAAGGGGCGGUCUGGACCUCUUCUGACGCUGAGGCGCGAAAGCUAGGGGAGCGAACGGG